UAUCCCAAAUUUUCUUGUAGUGCUUUCUGAGCCUACCUUUAAUCCCUGAGUAGGGCUGCUGGGGCUGUCACCUCCACCGAGCUCCACGAGGAAAGCGAGAAAGCAACACUGGAGGUUAUCGCAGCAGUGCCGCAGCAUCUCCUCCUUUCUCAUGGCCCCAGGGUGUGUCUUUUCUCCCGAUAAGGAAAACCAAGCCCUGUAAGCAGUGUCGCUGGAAAAUCCCAUUAUUUUGGAUCAGCUCUGUGCCCGCAUGAGCCGUGUCCCCCAGCUCCGUCUGGCAUCGGGCACUGCUCCUGGUUCCAGUCUCCUUGCAAAGAGCUUGUGUGAAGUUUGGUUUCUGCCUAUUAAAACAAGCUGGAUCCACACCGCCGUUCUCAGAGAUGGUCUACAGAUCAGAAGAAGGUAACCAGAAGGUGACUCUCUGCAUCUGCCGUCUGAGAAGUGGUGCCAGGGCGGGCUCUUAAAGCACUCCCCAUGGAAACAGAAAAGGGAGCGAUGGCUGCUCGGUGCUUUUUUUGCCUUGUUAACAUCCUCACCCUCAGACGGCUGGAGAAGGACCCGACGGCAGCCUUGGCACCGGGCUGACGGAGGCUCAGAGAUGCCCAGUGGUGGUCUUGGAAACGAUCCUCACGCUGCCUCCCGUGCUGGAGCCGACCCCUCGGCUGCUCCCGGAGCUGAAGGUGCUGCCUCCGCUGUAGCUGAGCCCCCCGCCGAACCCUCCGCUCCCGCCGAACCCUCCGC